rnacentral:rRNA from 1 species
AAACUUUCAACAACGGAUCUCUUGGUUCUGGCAUCGAUGAAGAACGCAGCGAAAUGCGAUAAGUAAUGCGAAUUGCAGAAUUCCGUGAGUCAUCGAAUCUUUGAACGCACAUUGCGCCCCUCGGUACUCCGAGGGGCAUGCCUGUCCGAGCGUCAUUG